rnacentral:other from 1 species
UUGCCCCUGCCAUGCUCGUGAUUGGAAGACAUUCUUUGACCCAACAGCAAUUAAAACGGGAACCUUCCCUGGUUUCGGUGUGCAUGUUCUGUUCUUCAGAAAAGCCUAAAGAAGCUAAACGGUGCCCACUUUGAACCCCAGGUUCAAAGACCUGACAACACG